AAUUUUAAUAGAUAGAUCUAAAUUCCCCUAUGGGAUAAUAGUAUGGAUUGACUUUGUCUCUAGCAGUGGAUUUUUUUUUUUAAUGGACCAGAGCUGUUUAUUCAGGACUGCCCAUCACCUCUGUGCACACAGGGCUCUGCUUCUUGGUCUCCUCCUUCUUGGCCAGGGUCCUGAUGAUCUCCUCCUCCUUGACCUGGAGCUGCUCCUCACAGUGCUUGCGAGCUUCCUUCGUGUUUGACCUUCCGGCCUUGGCCUGGUCAGCCAGGAGCUUCUUGCCGCCUUGUCCGCCUUCAGCUUGUGGAUGUACUCCAUGAGGAUCCGCUUGUUCUUGAACACAUUCCCCUUCACCCUCAGGCUCUGUGUGAACUCCCACUGAAGUAUUGCCUGUAUCACACUGGUGAAAGAAUGUGGUUUCGUUGGCCAUCAUGUGAGGGAUGCUGCACUCAUAAAGGAGCACAUUCCUCCUACUCCAUUCUUCAGCUACCCAAUGCCGUAUUUCAUAUUCUAUUUCUGCUGAUGCCUAUAGGAAAGCAAAGGAUGGCUACCUUUUCUCGGAGAAAGCAAGCUUUUCAUAUUUCUUUUUCCAUCCAAGAUUGUUCUGUUUCAGACUGAAACUUUCUCUGAUAAGAUACGUGAGGUAUGAAAAGAAAAUCCAAGAAAUUCACUCUAAUGUCAUUCUUCAGAUCUUGAGGUUCCUUUCCAGUCUGACUUACACUUUUCUUCUUUGCAGAGUUUAUUUUUAUCUUUG
rnacentral:lncRNA from 1 species